UACGGAGGAUCCAAGCGUUAUCCGGAUUCAUUGGGUUUAAAGGGUGCGUAGGCGGAAUGAUAAGUCAGCGGUGAAAUCCCUCGGCUUAACCGAGGAACUGCCGUUGAUACUGUCAAUCUUGAGUACAUUUUGAUGUGGGCGGAAUGUGUCAUGUAGCGGUGAAAUGCUUUAGAUAUGACACAGAACACCGAUUGCGAAGGCAGCUCACAAAACUGUAAACUGACGCUGAGGCACGAAAGCGUGGGGUAUCAAAAC
rnacentral:rRNA from 1 species